CAGCAGCAAAACCAGCAAUCAAGGCUGUCUGAUUCUUAGUUUUAAAAGUCUUUUCUUGGAUUGCCGUUAUUUGAAAAUAUUUUUGUCUUUCUUUUCGGCUUUUUCUACGGGACUGACUCUGUGAUCCAGUUUGGUAUUGUGGUGUGCCUGAGUAAUUUGAAGUUUUUUCUUUUGUGUUAAAUUAAUUUUAUUAGUAAUCGUAGAUUGUUGUUUUUUUCAGUGAUUUUAGAUUGUUUGGAUAUUAAUGUAAAAGAUAAAUUUUAAUAAAAAAAUAUUAUUCUAAUAUAUAUAUAUAUAUAAUAUCCGUGUUAUUUGCUUUGCUGUACAGUUGUUGGAAAACUACCAGUAAAAGAAGCACAUAUGCUUCAAAGAAGAUUUUAGAUCAAAUCUACAAGUGGGACUUGUUGAAGAAGAUUUAGUCGAGAAAAUCAUACCUUUACACUACCUCUGAUACUUCGCGUUCGACUCGUGUAAUCCAAGCUCCAUCUACUCAAU
rnacentral:lncRNA from 1 species